AUCGCUUCUCGGCCUUUUGGCUAAGAUCAAAGUGUAGUAUCAAACUAUUGUGAGUGUAUGCAACGACAAUCACAAGAGUUAGUAAUUGCCAUUGCAUACACUCACAAUAAUUUAACCUUUGCCUUUUUUAAAAUUGUAACUGUU
rnacentral:snRNA from 1 species